rnacentral:rRNA from 1 species
AGAGUUUGAUCCUGGCUCAGAAUGAACGUUGGCGGCGUGGAUUAGGCAUGCAAGUCGAGCGAGAAGUCUGGUGCUUGCACUAGACGGACAGCGGCGAAAGGGAGAGUAACGCGUGGAUUACCAACCCCCGGGUUCGGGAUAGCGGUGGGAAACUGCCAGUAAUACCGAAUAACAUCUCAGGAUCAAAGGUGAGAUUCCGCCUGGGGACGGGUCCGCGUCCUAUUAGCUUGUUGGUGGGGUAAUGGCCUACCAAGGCUACGAUGGGUACCGGGCGUGAGAGCGUGGCCCGGCUCACUGGGACUGAGACACUGCCCAGACGCCUACGGGUGGCUGCAGUCGAGAAUCUUCGGCAAUGGACGAAAGUCUGACCGAGCGACGCCGCGUGCGGGAUGAAGGCCUUCGGGUUGUAAACCGCUGUCAGUUGGGAGGAAAUCAUAGGGGGUCAUCCCUCUAUGUUGACCUAUCUUCAGAGGAAGUACGGGCUAAGUUCGUGCCAGCAGCCGCGGUAACACGAACCGUACGAACGUUAUUCGGAAUCACUGGGCUUAAAGGGUGCGUAGGCGGCUUGGAAAGUUGGGUGUGAAAUCCCUCGGCUCAACCGAGGAAUUGCGCUCAAUACUUCCAAGCUAGAGGGAGACAGAGGUAAGCGGAACUUAGGGUGGAGCGGUGAAAUGCGUUGAUAUCCUAAGGAACA